GGCGGUGUCUGUAAAUAGCGGGGAGGGGCGAAGGUGUUUCAGAAGCGUAAAGAGACGCCGUGGCUGAGGCAGGCUCUGCGACGACGGCGUCGGCCUCCGAGCGCAGCCGAAGCGUGCGCCCCGAGGAGCCCGGCAUUCUUAGGAGAAUGCUGUUUCUGUACUCCUGACUUCCCGUCACGCCAGGGACACGUGGCUUGGAGCACAGCAGCCGGAUUCCUCACUUAGCCGUGUCAGCUUGGUGCAGGUUACGAAUUACAGGGUGACUUGGAAACCCAGAAACAAAGGGAAGAAGCUGGAUGGGGAAGAAAGGCUGCAGAGCUUCCUGCAACGGGCUGCGAGCGCAAAGAGCGAGGAGGCAGCGGAAGACCGGACUCAGGAAUCGGAACGGUUUUCUUGGGUUUAAGAAGCUCGAAUGGCGCUUCAAGACAUUUAUAUCAGACCUGGUUUAAUUUCAUUACCCUUUUUUUUUACAUCCACAAAAAAACCCCAACCCUCCCCCCCCCCACCUCCAGGAUCCAUCGCUGCUGCUGCCGUGCGUGACGAGAAGCCGUCUUCCCUCUGCCCGGAGCAGCUGAGAGAUGGAGCAGCACCCCAAAGGACUUUCUGCUCAGUGAUUAUAGCUGAGUUUUAGUGGGAAUUCUCUGAGCAAUCUGGUGGAUUGUGCUUGAACGUGGCCGUGAGGGUAGCUGAGCACGGCAGUCCGGAUCUGCGAGCCGCGGUGCCGGAGCUCUUUGAAAGGUCGUGGGGGAUGCAUUCAUUCCAUUGAAUCCCGGCCCUGUGCUGUGCCCAGGCCCUUUGUACAAAGAGUGUACGGGGAGAAACCAGAACUGCACGUUGCUUGCGAUACGUAUGGAGUUUUGAAAGCUUUAGUUCUAGCUAAUAAAAGAAGUUAGUUUGAAAAAAAGCCAAAUAAUUUAUUUUUUUUUCCUUCAACGUGAUACUCUUUGGUGGUGUACGGUGUGUUGUCUUCUUUUUUGGUGUUGUUAACUCUGUGUCAUUUGUUUUUUGAGUGAAGAUAACUCUGUGGAUGGCUUGGUUUGUAUUUGAGGCAGAAUUAAUUUCAACAGGUUUCUUUAAUAGACUUCUGAGAUGUAUUGCUGGGAUUUUGGCUUAGUUUAUCGUAGGUAUAAACACAGAGAUUUGGUAGGGGCAGCUCGGCUGCUGGAGUUUUGGGUGUUUAAGUGAUUGGAUGGCUUUUGUUACCUGCAGUUUUUAAUUUUUGAAAGGUUUUUUUACGUAGUGGCUUAAGGUGGUUUUUAGAAUUAAUUGUCUUGCUUCAUGUUGUGUGCAGCCGGUGGGGGGGGGGGGGGGGGGUUUAGUUUUCUUUUUGGGGACAGGAGCAUUUAUAUGGUGGGUGUUUAUAGGCAGUAUAUAUUUUUUUAAAAUUUUAGCAGUGAUAUUUUUUGACAUUUUAAUAGCUUAGAAUUUUUUUUAUGCUUUUCAUUAGUUUUUUUUAAAUUUAAAAUUAUUUCUACAGAUUAUUGUUCAUUACUUGUGAGUUAGCAUAAAGGUAGAGCUUCGGGGGUCUUUUUAGUAAUGUUUAGGGUCAGUUGUACAGUCUGGAGUUUAGGGAGCUGGUUUGAUUUAUUUUGUACAGGUUUUUGUUUUUCUUAGCAGUUCUUUCCUUUUGGAUGUGUAUUGGAGUUUUUUGGGUUUCUGAGAAAUUGAUUGAGGAGGAAGUUUAUGAUGAGGAAGCACGGAGGUUUUGGGCUAGCUCUAAUGGGAUUUUUACAUUUCUUUAUAGAUGGGUUUGUUUGAGUUUCUAAUCGGGGGAAGCCUUGUGGGAUCUCCGCUCUGUUGGCAACAGGAGCGGGCUCUGUUUUUCUGUGUUGUGCUGGGAUGUGAGCGCGUGGCGGUGCCGAGGAGGGUGCAGCAUUUUUGUGGUUCUGAUGUGUUAGGUUAGUGAAUUUAUGGGGUUCGAUAUCUAGUUUAAAAUAGAAAGAAAUAUCCAUUUAAAAAGAUCACAUUAUAAGGGUAAACAUAAGAAUCGAAACAAAUCAAACUGUAAUAUAUAGUAUGUUCUUGUAACCUGGUAUAACAUAUACAAAACACAGUCUAUUCUAUAUACGCAAAAAUAUCUAACUAUAGAUCGUAAAUAUAAAAAUAAUGACAUACAGUUUAAAAUAAA